rnacentral:rRNA from 1 species
GUCUACGGGCAUACCACCCUGAACAAGCUUGAUCAUGUGUGAUCUCGGAAGGUAAGCAGGGUCAGGCCUGGUUAGUACUGGACAGGAGACUACCUAGGAAGACCAGGUGCUGUAGGCA